rnacentral:rRNA from 1 species
GACGAGGGGUCCAAGCGUUGUUCGGAAUUAUUGGGCGUAAAGCGGGUGUAGGUGGCUCUAUAAGUCAGGAGUGAAAGCCCCGAGCUUAACUUGGGAAGUGCUUUUGAUACUGUCGAGCUUGAAUGUGGGAGAGGAUCGUGGAAUUCCAGGUGUAGUGGUGAAAUACGUAGAUAUCUGGAGGAACACCGGUGGCGAAGGCGGAUCUCUGGGCCUUACCUGACGCUGAGGCGCGAAAGCUAGGGGAGCGAACAGG